CUGGCCCGCUGCUAAACGAGUCUUCCGGGGCGAGGUCUGGGGUCCUGGGACUGGGAGCUGAUUCUGAAAGGCCGGGGUCAGGCCUGGUGACCCCUGAGAAAGACAUUCUUCCACCAAUCCUUUAGCAUUCUGGGGAGUGUCGUGAGAGUGCCAGUACAGUUCCCCUCUCUCCAGUCACCCUAGGCCCCAGCUGUUUCUAGGGUCCUAGGAAUCAGGAGAAAAAUGUUCCUGUACACGCACCCGGAGGCUUUUGCAGGAGGCGGCUGUUGGAGAACCGGGAAAACAAGCCAAGAAACAAGAGAGAGGAAGAAGACCACGCCUCGCCUGGCAGAUUCCUAAUGGCCCAGGAGACCUGGGGCUUUACUGUGGGAGGCGGUGGGGGGGGGUGAGGGGGUGCUGGCUCGGGUGGGAGGGAAGGGCAGGCCGAAGGACAGCCACUUGCUGGUCGGUGACCUUGGGCGGGAUGCUGCCUGCUUCCCUCUGGUGAGAACGGGGAGGAGGGGGGCAGGGGCAGGGCUGGCCGGCUGAGGUCACAGGAAGGCCCCUUCCAGCCUGAAACGCGAUCUCGGGAUGUGGGGCCUGCCAACCUGCAGCGACCCUGGGCCAGCAGAGAUGAAAGGCUGCCUGUCCCCAGCUUCCGGACCCCCGAGGCCCCAGUGCCUCAGACUUGAAGGGCAGCAAAGCUGCUGCAGCUGGCUGGAGCCGGUUCCUGGACUCCCCACCCCACCUGAUGUCAUCCAACCCUCCCUUCCCUGUUUGGCUGGGGACCCUCAAGCCCAGAGAGGGCUGUUGACCUACCGGAGGUCACACAGCAAGUUGGAGGCUGAGCCAGGGCUCACCACAAAGUCUUUGGGCUCCAAGUCCAGUUCGCAUUCCCUUUCCCAGAAACUUGGCUGCCUGGGGCCUUACCCCAGGGAGUGGGAGAGACCCAGGGUUAGGGGAGACAGUUGGAAGCUGUGUCCUUUGAAGUCAAGACUUAAUGUUGACUAAAGUGCUUUUCUUUUCCUUCUUUCUCUCUAUCUCUGUCUCUGUCUCUCUCUCCUUUUUUUUUUUUUUUUUUUUAAGACAAAAAAGAACGUUCCAGGCCCCUGCCAUGAGCCUGGACUUGCUCUGCUGGCAGGGGAAGGAAUGCAGCUCUGGCCGCCACAGCCGCUGGUGGCCAGCUGCAGCCUCCGCUCCUGCCGCUCCCACCCCAGUGGGCUCGGGGACAAAGGCCUCUUCUCAGGCUGAUCCCCUCCAGCUCCCUGGAUCAGUGGGGGCAGAGCAUCGACCCAGAGGCUUGGUUACAGACCAGCUAAGACGCCGUCCCUCUCUGGGCCAUAGUGUCCUUUCUAGAAAAUGGGAGCCAAGGAUUUGCCUGACCUACUUCUCAACAUUAUGUGGGGUCUCCAAAGAGGUAAAGUUACAGAAAUACAGACCUCUCUCGGCGCCUCCUUCUGCCUGAGGGUCUGCCUACUCAGACAGCCCUCUGCCUCACCCGAACCCCCCCUUCCUCAAGCUUCACCUGGCCAGCCCCAACUCACUCAGCUCGGCUCAGCAGGACCGUCCCUCGCUCUGGGGAGCCUUCCCUCACCUCCAGACAGCACUGCUCCUUCAGGGUAUUUAUCACUGUUAUAAUUAAAUAAUUAAUUGUGUAAUUGGAUCUGUCUCCCCACUACAAUGUGAACUCAAGUAAUAGCUGACACCCAAUGCUUACCCAGUACCGGGGACCUUACCAGGGACUGCCCACUGAGUCCCUGUGGCAGGGAUUGUCCAUUCCCCUGUCUUAAUGGAUGAGCCACCUGAGACAAUGAGAGGUUUGGUGACUUACCUGAAGUCACAGCCAGCUGGAGGUUCGUCCAGGACGGAGAACCAAAGAGUUGCAGAACCGGGAUUCAAAUCCAGACCUCAGGCUGUAACCAUUACCCCUCGAAUAAGGCAGGCUGAGCUUGUUCCCUGCUCCUCCCCAGCUCCCAGAACAGCGGUAUACAGUAGGUGCUCAGUGUGAAUGAAUACACAAACAGAUGAGGAAGAUACAUUUUGAAGAAGAACAAAGCACCUUCCAGGAGUGAGUUUUGCAGGUGCCAAGUGUGGAGCUGAGGCAUGGUUGGGGGACAGGGUGCCCAAUAAAUUGUGAAAGACCAAUUAUUGGCUUCCCUCUGGAGGGCACACUUGGGCCAGAAGCCCCGGAGGCCAUCUCUGACAACUCCUUCCAUCUCAUCCCCAAGUUCUGCUUGGUUUCUCCUCAGUGCACCUCCUCUUCUCCAUCCCUCAACUCUCAUCUCUUUCUUGGAUUUUUUUUGAAUAAGCUCUCUACCCAAUGUGGAGAUUGAACUCAUGACCCAGAGAACAAGAGGCACAUGCUCUACUGACUGAACCAGCCAGGCCCCCUUUUCUUGGAUUUUUGUAACAACUGCUUUACAGGUUUCUCCAUCUCUAACUUCUCCUCCUUCAAAGUGGGCUCUCAGUGUAAAAAGCUGAGUGCGGGUGCUGUCCCUCUUUACCCCCUCCUUCACUAAUGAGCCUUCCAUGGCCCCACGGCUCUCUGGAUAAAGCCCAUACUCCUCACCAAGGCUUCUGCCACCAAGCCCUGCCUCCACCCCUCCAGUUUUCCCUCCUACCCCCCUCCUCCACAUGUCCUCUGUUCAAGCCACUCUAUGUAGUAGAUGUUAAGAGCACGGAAGCAGGGGUGCCUUGGUGGCUCAGUGGGUUAAACCUCUGCCUUCGGGUAGUGAUCUCAAGGUCCUGGGA